rnacentral:rRNA from 1 species
GACGAACGCUGGCGGCGUGCUUAACACAUGCCAGUCGAACGGUGAAGCGCCUUCCUUUUUGGUGGGUGUGGAUGAGUGGCGAACGGGUGAGUAACACGUGAGUAACCUGCCCCCUUCUUCUGGAUAACCGCAUGAAAGUGUGGCUAAUACGGGAUAUUCUGGGUCUGCCGCAUGAUGGGUCUGGGAAAGAUAUUGUUUCGGUGGGGGAUGGGCUCGCGGCCUAUCAGCUUGUUGGUGGGGUGAUGGCCUACCAAGGCGGUGACGGGUAGCCGGCCUGAGAGGGUGGACGGUCACACUGGGACUGAGACACGGCCCAGACUCCUACGGGAGGCAGCAGUGGGGAAUAUUGCACAAUGGGCGCAAGCCUGAUGCAGCGACGCCGCGUGAGGGAUGGAGGCCUUCGGGUUGUGAACCUCUUUCGCCAGUGAAGCAGGCCUGCCUCGUUUGUGGGUGGGUUGACGGUAGCUGGAUAAGAAGCGCCGGCUAACUACGUG